rnacentral:rRNA from 1 species
GACGAACGCUGGCGGCGUGCUUAACACAUGCUAGUCGAAUGGAAAGGCCCUGCUUGCAGGGUACUCGAGUGGCGAACGGGUGAGUAACACGUGGGUGAUCUGCCCUGCACUUCGGGAUAAGCCUGGGAAACUGGGUCUAAUACCGGAUAGGAGCCAUUUUUAGUGUGAUGGUUGGAAAGUUUUUUCGGUGUAGGAUGAGCUCGCGGCCUAUCAGCUUGUUGGUGGGGUAAUGGCCUACCAAGGCGGCGACGGGUAGCCGGCCUGAGAGGGUGGACGGCCACAUUGGGACUGAGAUACGGCCCAGACUCCUACGGGAGGCAGCAGUGGGGAAUAUUGCACAAUGGGCGCAAGCCUGAUGCAGCGACGCCGCGUGGGGGAUGACGGCCUUCGGGUUGUAAACUCCUUUCGCUAGGGACGAAGCUUUUUGUGACGGUACCUAGAUAAGAAGCACCGGCUAACUACGUG